rnacentral:rRNA from 1 species
GAUGAACGCUGGCGGCGUGCCUAAUACAUGCAAGUCGAGCGAACGGACGAGAAGCUUGCUUUUCUGAUGUUAGCGGCGGACGGGUGAGUAACAUGUGGAUAACCUACCUAUAAGACUGGGAUAACUUCGGGAAACCGGAGCUAAUACCGGAUAAUAUUUUGAACCGCAUGGUUCAAAAGUGAAAGACGGUCUUGCUGUCACUUAUAGAUGGAUCCGCGCUGCAUUAGCUAGUUGGUAAGGUAACGGCUUACCAAGGCAACGAUGCAUAGCCGACCGGAGAGGGGGGUAGGCCACAUGGGAGGGGGGACAGGGACAUGAGGCCUGAGAGACGGAGCAGACGGGUACGGUAGGCAGCGGGCGAAAGCAUGGCGCAGCAAGCCCGCGUGAGAGACAGCGGCGCCGGGUGCGUAAUGACCGGUUAUGAGGUGUAAACAUAUGUGUAAGGAGAUGUGGACAUCUGGACGGGACCUAAUCAGAGAGGCACGGCUAACUAAGGG